GUCGGGCCCCACAUCUCCAUAUUAUUUUUUCAUUCAGGAGGAGGAGGAGGAGCCUGGUAUCACUCUCGAGGCUGUCCCGAUGAAAGAGUGUUUCAGCAUCUUUCUAUCCCGCAAGCUUAUUCUCCGGUGAUUUCCGGGCCACUGUGGAAUCUGGGGAACGAGCAUAUGCAGACAGCGACGUAGAAGCGCGGCUCUCUCUCCUAUAGCACACUGACCAGUAUCGCACUGCUGAGAGUUGACACGCAUUCUCGCAAGCCCCCAUGCAAGCACGCACCCAAUAGCUAUACACGGCAGUAAAACCCCGAGACUCUAGGGAGUUAACAAAAACGGACACACAAUGAUGGUGAGUGUGUCGGGUUCGGCGUUUUCGGCUUUAAUCGACAAACACCGCAAAAAUAAACGCCGGGUAAAUUUUCC